GAUAAGAUAGUCUAGUGUUUCCACGACAGUCGGUUCUACGUUACCGAAAUGACCCGGAUUUAUAUCCGGCCAAGGACUGUCACUCCAACAGCAUUCACCGUAUGUAAGUAUGGGGAAUGUUUAUGCUGCUACAACAACAUAGUCUAGUGCGAAAAAAGUGUAUUAAAAGAUGCCUACGAGUAUACGUAAAAAAGAGAAUAUCAUCAGCAAUAUUUCACUGGAAAUUACAUACAAUACAAAGUUUGAAAUCGGAUCUUCUUGACAUAAUUUUGGUUAUCUUAGAGGAAUUGGCUUGAAGACAAAUGAAGUGUAUGCACAGAAUACGUUUAGACAAUCGGCGAACUUGUUAGACGCAGCACCAAAUUCUAUAUAAUAAUUUGAGUUGACAAAUAUAUUUGAAUCCAAAUAAUGUAUAUCCGUAAUCGCGAAAAUCCAGCAAAUAGAUGAGCGUCUGGAGAUGAAAAUUACUUAACUCUGUAGCCAUUAAGACAGACCAUUAUUGAUAGUGCUAAAUCAACAAUAAUGCAAACAAGCUUUUCCUAAAUAAACACAUUUUCGAUAGAUCUCCUGGUGCCAAAAGUACCAUCUAGAUCACCUGAAGAGCAUGUUUAGCACCAAAUACAAAAUCUCUAAUGGUGAAAUCUCUGUCGAAAUGGCCAUAAUAUUUCUGGGAAAUCCAUUAGUCGAGGUAGACUCCGUGAUCCAUCCAUAUGAAAAUCACCAUGAUCCGGAUUAGGUGUUUGA